CCCGCACAAGCGGAGGAACAUUGUGGUUAAUUCGAUGAUACGCGAGGAACCUUACCUGGGCUUAAAUGUAGAACGAUGUUUCGGGAAACCGGAAUUUCUUCGGACGGUCUGCAAGGUGCUGCAUGGCUGUCGUCAGCUCGUGCCGUGAGGUGUCGGGUUAAGUCCCAUAACGAGCGCAACCCUUAUCGUUAGUUGCCAGCGGGUAAUGCCGGGGACUCUAACGAAACUGCCGGUGUAAACCGUGAGGAAGGUGGGGAUGACGUCAAGUCAGCACGGCCCUUAUGUCCAGGGCUACACACGUGUUACAAUGGCCGGUACAAAGGGCAGUUACCUGGUGACAGGAUGCUAAUCUCUAAAACCGGUCUCAGUUCGGAUUGAAGUCUGCAACCCGACUUCAUGAAGCUGGAUUCGCUAGUAAUCGCGCAUCAGCCACGGCGCGGUGAAUACGUUCCCGGGCCUU
rnacentral:rRNA from 1 species